CGAUUGACGUGCGGCAGCCAUUUCGCGAGCGUUGGUUUACCGGUGGUCUGACCGCCGAUUCUGGAGUGUAGGGUGACUCCACCGCUCGGUGUUUUGCACUUGUAUUAACCACAUCCGCACUUUGGCCAUCGCCACUUGGCACACGGACGGUAAUAAAUGUUUUUAGUGAUACUUCAUACGCCCUCUUCAGCUUGGAAGAUUUGGAACUGGCUGUACGUCCUAGCUAUUGCCCUUUUAUUGCAUACUUUUUCUCCCCGAGUGGAUUUGUGGCUGCAUUUUUAAAUGCGAGGAACCAAAAUGCCCAUCAUUGAAUCAUGCUACGAGGAAGGUCAUGGACCAGAGGACUCUGAAAAUAAUGCAGAGCUGCAGCAACACAGAGUCCUGUGUGCCUACCCCUGUCAUCGGCAGCCCCCACACUAAUAUAGAGUUGAGGAAGAGUUUCCCAAAGGAAUCUGAAGAAAGAAGAGUAAACCUGGGCCCACAGCAAAGGAUGGGGAAAGCUAUGUAAACAAGGAGCUACAAUUCCUUCAAUCCCCAGCCAGCUUACACUUGACAGGAAGAUAAUAAGCAACUACAUUUUCUCCAUGCAAAAACCCUUCCAGGUUGUGAGUGCCAUAAAUAUAACGGAUUGUACUGUACUCAUCACUAGUAUGACGGCAUCUCCCUCUCUCCAUAGGAUCUCAAUGAGGUCAAAAUGGAGUGGACCCACUUCUCCCUAUUCCUCCUACUAAAUACAGCAAAAACUCCUAUACAUUAUAUAGAAAAUAAAUAUAAGGAGACUGAAAGGCGCAGACAAGAAGGCAGACCAGCUAGGGACCUUGGGACUGAGGAAUGAUGCUGUGAAAGUACAUAAGGGCACUUUCGCCACACCAGCCUACUGAAGCCACUGUCCCUCUGGCCUGCUGCUGCAGUAUCCCCCCUAUGUAACCUCCUGCCAUCAGCUCCUACUCCCUCCAAUCCAUUCUCCACUGAAUGGCUGGAAUGCAGUUUUGGUGAUUUUUUUUUUUAACUGUAAAAAGUACAUGAAGUAAAACUACCAUUUUAACCGUU